rnacentral:tRNA from 1 species
UCCCUGGUGGCUCAGACGGUAAAGCGUCUAUCUAUGAUGUGGAAGACCUGGGUUCGAUCCCUGGGUUGGGAA